UACGUAGGGGGCCAGCGUUGCUCGGAAUUACUGGGCGUAAAGGGUUCGUAGGCGGUGCGGCAAGUUGGGAGUGAAAUCUCUGGGCUUAACCCAGAGGCUGCUUUCAAAACUGCCGUGCUCGAGUGCGGGAGAGGCCAGUGGAAUUGCAGGUGUAGCGGUGAAAUGCGUAGAUAUCUGCAGGAACACCCGUGGCGAAGGCGGCUGGCUGGACCGCAACUGACGCUGAGGAACGAAAGCUAGGGGAGCAAACAGG
rnacentral:ncRNA from 2 species